UCUUCUGAAGAGAGGGACAGACAGGUUUAAGGAGAGUAAACUUCAGAAUUCCAUCAAGUUAUCUUUAUUUUUACUAAGACUAAAAUAAUGUUUGUUUUUGUAGAUGUUGAAAUCCAGAGACAGGAUAACUUCAUUCUUAUGAGACUGAUAACUCAAACUAACUGGAGUUAAGGGGACAGAAGUCUGCUUGUGUGAGGAGGAGGUUUUCUCAGCUUCUUUGGAAGAGAGGGAAAGAUCGUUUAAGGCAAGUAAACUUCAUAAUUUCAUGUUAUCAGUUAUCAGUUGUUGUUGUUUUUAUUUACUAAGAGUAAAAUAAUGUUUGUUUCUUUGUUUUUGUAGAUGUUAAAAGCCAGAGACAUGGGAGAUCAUCAUUCUUUUGAGAUUUCAUAACUCAAACCAACUUUGGAGUUGUCUGAUUUGGAGAGCCCUCAUUCUUGGUCUUCCUUCUUAAAGGCCACUGAUGAAGAGCAGGCGAUGACUGGAUGAAUGCUGGUCAAAGAAGAGAAUGUCCUUUCCCCUAAACUGAUGCAGCAGUGGUUUUAAAGGAGGACGCUGCCCCGGAUGAUGUAGAAAAUGUCAUCUUCAUGACUACAUCAUUUAUGCUAAAGAGAUCAUGAAAAUUGACCGUGAUGCAUGAUCUGUAUUCAUGGACUAUGAAACAAACUCAGGAGGCGCUAAGAGCGGGAGAGGUAUGUUUCUCCUGUAACGGCUGCAAAUCGGCGCUGAGCUCAAAAACGCUGCCUUUUCAAGCACAUGCGAAAUGAAAUCGAACAUUUUCUAAAUACAGUAGUUUUCCUUCUGAAAUACAGUGAUAAAAAAACACCCGCUCUGGUUUUUGAAACCCUGCAAUGUAUUAAUUUUAAACCAUAAAAAAGCAACCCAGCAGGCUGGGUUAAAUGUAAUAACCCAACUGGUUGGGUUAAAAUAACCCAGCAUUGGGUUCGUCCCUUUUUGACCCAGCGCUGGGUUGCCAAAA